rnacentral:lncRNA from 1 species
UCAAUUUACAGAUAAAAUGGAAAAUGCUUUUUCUGUUUUCACAGUAUAUCUCUCUCUUCCACCUCGUCGUGUUUUUAAACUCACUUUCCAAUUUGCUAACUUUACAUUUAGCUGUUGUGUGACAUACAUUGACUGUAUAGAAGAACUGGACUGAGCGCGUGUGAAGUCACCCAUGUAAAAUGGUUUACUUCCGACUCCAACAAAAUGUCGUCAAUUCAGUCGCCAUUUGUUGCGAUACAGACUCCACCAUGUUGGAGACAGACAAUGUCAUUAGGGAUUGAUCCAAGUCGGUGUGGGUCAUUGUUUCUAUGGAAACCACUCUUCCCAAUCACUGAUGAUCUUGUUGGAAGUCCACAACUUUACCACUUGAAACUAGGCUACAAGGAAUCUGUCAAUCAAAGAUUUUAACUCUUCGCCUUUGAUUCUCACAUUCACAAGUGCUGAAAGACAGUACUUCAACGAGUCCCAACAGCUUACUUGGGAUGAGGCCAGGAGCUACUGCCAGGUCUGCUAUAAGGAUCUAGUGGCUCUGACCUCAGACAAUGUCCAGGUAAUAAUCAAGAUGAUUGACACAGACCACUGGAUUGGCCUUCGCAAGCACUUCCCCAAAAACGUGACAGACAAAAACAAUUUCACCAGUGACAGCAACUUCACCAGCAAUGACAACUUCACCUAUGACAAGGGCAGCAAAAGCAAUUUCAGCAACAUAGAAAGCAUCAUCAACCUAGUUAACAACACCAACAUCACCACUAGGCCUCCCUGCAAGACUUGGUGCAAAUGGUCCAAUGGGGAUCCCCUUAUCUUCCAGAACUGGUAUCCUGGCAUGCCAGUGUUUAAAUCUCGCCUCCCAGAAAUAAAAUGCUGCAGUUGCUCUUGCACAUGCCCAGGAUCAACAACCAGGGUUACGACGAGACUUGCCCCGUUUACAGAAUCACCCACUGUACAGACCAGUGUUAUGUAUUCUCCUCCUGAAAGUACAGGGCAAAUUGAAAUAACCAAGGCCAGUGAAGGAACAACAGACGAAACAUAUCAUGUUCCAUCCACCCCAUCGGCAGCAUUUGGGAAAACAGAAGCCAGAACAACUCAAAUGAGCAGUACUAUAACCACCAAUCAAGAGGAAAUUACUACAAAAGAAGAAAAACCAACUAUGCCCACCAACCAAAAUAUAUUCCUAAAUUGCAGAAUCAAAGAAAGAACCAACCAAGAGGGACUUACCACCAACCAGGAGGGACUUAGCACUGCAAGAGAGAGUACGACGGACAGUAAACAUUCAAGACAAACCACAACCCAAGAGGGAAUUAGCACUGCAGGAGAGAGUGUGACUAAAGUAGGAGAUCUCUCAGUAACUACAACCCAAGAGGGAAUUAGCACUGCAGGACAAAGUGUGACUAAAGUAGGAGAUCUGUCAGUAACUACAACCCAAGAAGGAUUUAGAACUGCAGGAGAAAGUACAACUAAAGUAGAAGAUCUCUCAGUAACUACAACCAAAGAGGGGUUUAGCACUGCAGGAGAAAGUACAACUCACUGGAAAGGUUGUGAGACCACCAACCAAGAAACGUUGCUAACUUGCAAAGUAGUUGAAAGCACUCCUGACACUGGAAAUUGUUUCAAAACCACCACCCCAGGGGACAUUAGCACAGUUUCAGAUAGUACCACUGUUACAGGAAAAUCCUUUACCACAGACCAAGAGCAAAAAAGCACUUUCCAAACAAACAUCUCUUUCACCACUGCCGAAAUAACUCACAGCCCAGUCACUCAAGAUACAACUGGAAAGACAACAGAUCAACAGACGCCAGUGACAUCUACAAAAAGCACAACAACUUUUGAUGUUUUCGAGUCCUCCACAGGCUCCCUUUGGACAACCACUCUGCCUUCAUCAGAAGCAACAUGUGAACAAUCUCCUGUGGAGAUUCCACUUCUCGCUGAAAUUAAUGAAAACUACAUUGAGGACUCUUGCGUGGUCAUAACUAGUUUUGGACCUUGGAUUGAAAUGAGUUGCUCAGAGAUUCUUCCUUUUAUUUGUUAUGAAGACAGAUUUUUCGGUCAAGUCAAUGUGACGAACGUAACAUCAGGGAGUGCCACUCUGACCUGGCUGCCUGGACCCGGUGGCAUCAGUCAUUAUGAUGUUGAGGUCACAGGUGACAUCGAACUGUACGAAAAUGUGACAGAUUUGACCCUUGACCUUUUUAACCUCACGGCAGGAAGCUACUACAAAGUUCAGGUGUUUCCAGUUAAGUGUUACCGACGCCUCAACCCCCAGAAUGCCUCCUUCUACACCAGUAAGCUAAAUCCAAUUCUUAUUUUCACUUCAAAUUCAAUAAUUAUGGAUUUAUUUUAGAGCUGCACGGUGGGAAUAGUGGUUAGCACUCUCGCCUCACAGGAUCGAACCUUGUGUGUGGAAAUUACAUGUUCUCCUCAUGCAUGUGUGGGGAUUUCUCCAGUGACAUCAACAAAAAGGAAAGCAACCA